AUUCUUUUAGUAUAAUAAGUAUAUUUAACUUCCAAUUAAAAGGUCUAUUUUAGAAAGAAUA
rnacentral:tRNA from 1 species